rnacentral:rRNA from 1 species
GUGGGGAAUUUUGGACAAUGGGCGCAAGCCUGAUCCAGCAAUGCCGCGUGCAGGAUGAAGGCCUUCGGGUUGUAAACUGCUUUUGUACGGAGCGAAAAGGCUUCCACUAAUACUGGGGGCUCAUGACGGUACCGUAAGAAUAAGCACCGGCUAACUACGUGCCAGCAGCCGCGGUAAUACGUAGGGUGCAAGCGUUAAUCGGAAUUACUGGGCGUAAAGCGUGCGCAGGCGGUGUUGUAAGACAGGUGUGAAAUCCCCGGGCUUAACGUGGGAACUGGAGUUGUGACUGCAAGGCUGGAGUACGGCAGAGGGGGAUGGAAUUCCGCGUGUAGCAGUGAAAUGCGUAGAUAUGCGGAGGAACACCGAUGGCGAAGGCAAUCCCCUGGGCCUGUACUGACGCUCAUGCACGAAAGCGUGGGGAGCAAACAGGAUUAGAAACCCGUGUAGUCC